CCUACGGGAGGCAGCAGUGAGGAAUAUUGGUCAAUGGCCGGGAGGCUGAACCAGCCAAGUCGCGUGGGGGAAGACGGCCCUACGGGUUGUACACCUCUUUUGUCAGGGAGCAAGGUGCAGGUCGGGACCUGCUGUGAGAGUACCUGAAGAAAAAGCAUCGGCUAACUCCGUGCCAGCAGCCGCGGUAAUACGGAGGAUGCGAGCGUUAUCCGGGUUUAUUGGGUUUAAAGGGUGCGCAGGCGGGGGCACAAGUCAGCGGUAAAAUCGCGGGGCUCAACGUCGGAAUUGCCUCUGAUACUGUUCGGCUAGAGAGUAGGUGCGGUAGGCGGAAUGUAUGGUGUAGCGGUGAAAUGCUUAGAGAUCAUACAGAACACCGAUUGCGAAGGCAGCUUACCAAGCUACUUCUGACGUUGAGGCACGAAAGCGUGGGGAGCAAACAGGAUUAGAUACCCGUGUAGUC
rnacentral:rRNA from 1 species